AGAGGAAACACUUAAUCCUGUGGAAACUGGAUGCCCCAGGGAAGAGGUUAUGCUGGUUAAGUGAGGUGGUGCCAUUGUGUUGGAAGGUUGUAGAUCUCUUGGGUAGUACAGCCCUACUUCAGAGGGAGCUUAAAGCUCAGAUUCUGUGGACAAUUCCUCUUCUGACUGAAGACACAACACAGCCAGCUGCCCCAGUCCUGUGCAGCUUCUGCCACGUGUCCCGUGCCGUACUUGAAUGUAAGCCCCUGGACAGUUGUCAAUAUAAAUCUGUUCUUUCUAAAA
rnacentral:lncRNA from 1 species